rnacentral:tRNA from 6 species
GGGAGCAUAGCUCAGUUGGUUUAGAGCAUCUGCCUUACAAGCAGAGGGUCGGGGGUUCGAUUCCCUCUGCUCCCACAA